rnacentral:rRNA from 1 species
GAUGAACGCUGGCGGCGUGCCUAAUACAUGCAAGUCGAGCGAACAGACGAGGAGCUUGCUCCUCUGACGUUAGCGGCGGACGGGUGAGUAACACGUGGAUAACCUACCUAUAAGACUGGGAUAACUUCGGGAAACCGGAGCUAAUACCGGAUAAUAUAUUGAACCGCAUGGUUCAAUAGUGAAAGACGGUUUUGCUGUCACUUAUAGAUGUAUCCGCGCCGCAUUAGCUAGUUGGUAAGGUAACGGGUUACCAAGGCAACGAUGAGUAGCCGACCUGAGAGGGUGAACGGCCACACUGGAACUGAGACACGGUCCAGACUCCUAAGGGAGGCAGCAGUAGGGAAUCUUCCGCAAUGGGCGAAAGCCUGACGGAGCAACGACGCGUGAGUGAUGAAGGUCUUCGGAUCGUAAAACUCUGUUAUUAGGGAAGAACAAAUGUGUAAGUAACUAUGCACGUCUUGACGGUACCUAAGCAGAAAGCCACGGCUAACUACGUG